AUUGAACGCUGGCGGCAGGCCUAACACAUGCAAGUCGAACGGAGGAACGGCGCUUGCUUCGGGAUUCAGGGGCGGACGGGUGAGUGAUGAGUAAGAAGCUGGCAAGCUGCGGGGGAUAACGGGAGGACAGGGGGAAAAAUACGCUAAUAGGGCAGAGGGAGAAAGUGGGGGAUCAUGGGACCUGAAGAGAUAAGGUGAGGGUAGGUCGGAUUAGCGAGUUGGUGGGGUAGAGGCGUACGAAGGCGACGAUCCGUAGCUGGUCUGAGAGGAUGAUCAGCCACACUGGAACUGAGACACGGUCCCGACUCCUACGGGAGGCAGCAGUGGGGAAUAUUGGACAAUGGUCGAAAGCCUGAUCCAGCCAUGCCGCGUGUGUGAAGAAGGCCUUCGGCUUGUAAAGCACUUUUUUUUGGGAUGAAGGGCAGCAAGUUAAUACCUUGCUGUUUUGACGGUACCAACAGAAUAAGCACCGGCUAACUUCGUG
rnacentral:rRNA from 1 species